rnacentral:rRNA from 1 species
GAUGAACGCUGGCGGCGUGCCUAACACAUGCAAGUCGAGCGAGGAAAGAUAGCUUGCUAUCAAUCCUAGCGGCGGACGGGUGAGUAACGCGUGGGUAACCUGCCCUAUACACAUGGAUAACAUACCGAAAGGUAUGCUAAUACAAGAUGAAACAUUGGUAAGGCAUCUUAUUAAUGUCAAAGCUUUGGCGGUAUAGGAUGGGCCCGCGUCCCAUUAGUUAGUUGGUGAGGUAACGGCUCACCAAGGCCACGAUGGGUAGCCGACCUGAGAGGGUGAUCGGCCACACUGGAACUGAGACACGGUCCAGACUCCUACGGGAGGCAGCAGUGGGGAAUAUUGCACAAUGGGCGAAAGCCUGAUGCAGCAACGCCGCGUGAGCGAUGAAGGCCUUCGGGUCGUAAAGCUCUGUCCUCAAGGAAGAGUUUUGACGGUACUUGAGGAGGAAGCCCCGGCUAACUACGUGCCAGCCGCCGCGGUAAUAC